AUCAACUUUCGAUGGUAGGAUAGAGGCCUACCAUGGUGGUAACGGGUAACGGGGUGUUAGGGCACGACACCGGAGAGGGAGCCUGAGAAACGGCUACCACAUCCAAGGAUGGCAGCAGGCGCGCAAAUUACCCAAUCCCGACACGGGGAGGUAGUGACAAUAAAUAACAAUACGGGGUUCUUUCGGAUUUCGUAAUUGGAAUGAGUACAAUUUAAAUCUCUUAACGAGGAACAAUUGGAGGGCAAGUCUGGUGCCAGCAGCCGCGGUAAUUCCAGCUCCAAUAGCGUAUAUUAAAGUUGUUGCAGUUAAAAAGCUCGUAGUUGAAUUUCGGGGUCAGUAGAUUGGUCAUGCCUCCGGUAUGCACUGGUCUUACUGGCUCCUCCUUCCUGAUGAACCGUAAUGCCAUUAAUUUGGUGUUGCGGGGAGACUGGACUGUUACUUUGAAAAAAUUAGAGUGUUUAAAGCAGGCUAACGCUUGAAUACAUUAGCAUGGAAUAAUGAAAUAGGACGUUCGAUCUUAUUUUGUUGGUUUCUAAGAUUGACGUAAUGAUUAAUAGGGAUAGUUGGGGGCAUUAGUAUUCAAUUGUCAGAGGUGAAGUUCUUGGAUUUAUUGAAGACUAACUACUGCGAAAGCAUUUGCCAAGGAUGUUUUCAUUAAUCAAGAACGAAAGUUAGGGGAUCGAAGACGAUCAGAUACCGUCGUAGUCUUAACCAUAAACUAUGCCGACUAGGGAUCGGAUGAUGUUAAUUUUUUAAUGACUCAUUCGGCGCCUUACGGGAAACCAAAGUGUUUGGGUUC
rnacentral:rRNA from 1 species